rnacentral:rRNA from 1 species
AUUGAACGCUGGCGGCAGGCCUAACACAUGCAAGUCGAACGAGCGGCGGACGGGUGAGUAAUGUCUGGGAAACUGCCUGAUGGAGGGGGAUAACUACUGGAAACGGUAGCUAAUACCGCAUACCAUCGGAUGUGCCCAGAUGGGAUUAGCUAGUAGUGGGGGUAAAGGCUCACCUAGGCGACGAUCCCUAGCUGGUCUGAGAGGAUGACCAGCCAGACGGGAACUGAGACACGGACCAGACUCCUACGGGAGGCAGCAGUGGGGAAUAGUGCACAAUGGGAGCAAGCCUGAUUCAGCCAUGCCGCGUGUAUGAAAAAGGCCUUCGGGUUGUAAAGUACUUUCAGCGGGGAGGCGUUACCCGCAGAAGAAGGACCGGCUAACUCCGGGCCAGCAGCCGCGGUAAUUC